UACGAAGGGGGCUAGCGUUGUUCGGAAUCACUGGGCGUAAAGCGCACGUAGGCGGAUCUUUAAGUCAGGGGUGAAAUCCCGAGGCUCAACCUCGGAACUGCCUUUGAUACUGGGGAUCUCGAGUCCGGGAGAGGUGAGUGGAACUGCGAGUGUAGAGGUGAAAUUCGUAGAUAUUCGCAAGAACACCAGUGGCGAAGGCGGCUCACUGGCUCGAUACUGACGCUGAGGCGCGAAAGCGUGGGGAGCAAACAGG
rnacentral:rRNA from 1 species